rnacentral:rRNA from 1 species
AUGGCGUGUCUGAGAAACACCGGCGGAUCGGCACACCAACGAACCAUCCAUCGAACAGAUCAAAGGAACCGAAAUCGCAUCAAGAUUUCACCAAAUCUGAAAUCCCUAGGACGCAAGCCGAGGCGAUCUAAACCACAAAGACAACAAGUCCGCGAUCUCCCUCACACGAUCCCCUUAACAACGCAACGGGAUUUUUCCUUUUAUCUAUCCAUCUUUUUCUCCCAAAAAAACUGCCCCCUCCCCUCACCCGCACACCUCUUCCCACGACCCCGUCGCCCGUCGGUUCGCCACCGCCGCCCCACGCGAUGCCGGCCAUCUCUCCCCUAUUUCUAUCUUCUCCCAUCCCACACGACAAGAGCGCGGCGGAGGGCGACCGCCAUUUCUCUCUCCCUCGCCCCCCUCCGCCUCACCCGUCUCUGUCUCCUCUCCCGCACCCCCGACACGGCCUCAUGCUUCCAGGCGCUCGCCUGGAAGGAGGCAGCCGCCUCAACAGUCUUCGGUGCCGGUGUGGGCACGGGGAGCGGGCUGCUUUCGAUGCUUGACCCGACGCUCACCAACGAGGAGCAGUACUGCCGUGAGCGCACCCAGCUUCAGUAUUAUCUUUAUCUAAUUGCUUGUCAAGUUGCUAAUUGGAGUCUUCAGAUUCUUAGUUACAUUGUAGGAUCGACAAAUUAUCAAGCACACAUGGUACGAUCAUCAAGUAGUCGUGCGGUGUAUUGCAACAGCCGUGAGGUAAAUGAGAGGGGAGAUCCAGGCGCCGGAGAGGAGGAAGAAGUGUGCGAUGGUGGUGAGGUGGAAUCUGCACAAGCUAAGAAUCAGGCACUAAGGGAUGCUGGGGCUGUUGUUCCUACUUCAUUGGAAACUCUUGAAAGGAUUAAGGAGACAUUUCAGAAGUUGGUUGAGGAAGGAACAAUUCCUCCUGUCCCUGAGGUUACACCUCCCCCCAUUCCUGAGGAUCUUAAAAUUGCCAUUAAAAGUGGGAAGAUCCCUUCAAUGCUAACAAUGUAUGAGAUAGCGAUGGAAAUUCCAAGGGUACCACAAGAGAUGAUUCUGAGAAGGGGUAAGGGGAAGGUCCUGAAAAGGAACAAGCUGGAGAAGAUAGAUCUUAUCACCAAAUAUACGUGGAGGAAGAUGAAGAAGCAAGACCCUAAGAUGGACGACUCUUAG